CGAACGGGUGAGUAAUGCGUGACCAACCUGCCCCAUGCUCCAGAAUAGCUCUUGGAAACGGGUGGUAAUGCUGGAUGCUCCAACUUGACGCAUGUCUUGUUGGGAAAGUGUUUAGUGGCAUGGGAUGGGGUCGCGUCCUAUCAGCUUGUAGGCGGGGUAAUGGCCCACCUAGGCUUCGACGGGUAGCCGGCCUGAGAGGGCGGACGGCCACAUUGGGACCGAGAUACGGCCCAGACUCCUACGGGAGGCAGCAGUG
rnacentral:rRNA from 1 species